rnacentral:rRNA from 1 species
UUUGACAGAGGAUUCGUCCAAUGGAUGAGGUUACCUAGUGGCGGACGGGUGAGUAACGCGUGAGUAACCUGCCCUGGAGUGGGGAAUAACAGCUGGAAACAGCUGCUAAUACCGCAUAAUGCAGUUGGGUCGCAUGGCUCUGACUGCCAAAGAUUUAUCGCUCUGGGAUGGACUCGCGUCUGAUUAGCUAGUUGGUGGGGCAACGGCCCACCAAGGCGACGAUCAGUAGCCGGACUGAGAGGUUGGCCGGCCACAUUGGGACUGAGACACGGCCCAGACUCCUACGGGAGGCAGCAGUGGGGAAUAUUGGGCAAUGGGCGCAAGCCUGACCCAGCAACGCCGCGUGAAGGAAGAAGGCUUUCGGGUUGUAAACUUCUUUUGUCAGGGACGAAGCAAGUGACGGUACCUGACGAAUAAGCCACGGCUAACUACGUGCCAGCAGCCGCGGUAAUACGUAGGUGGCAAGCGUUAUCCGGAUUUACUGGGUGUAAAGGGCGUGUAGGCGGGGAAGCAAGUCAGAUGUGAAAACCACGGGCUCAACCUGUGGCCUGCAUUUGAAACUGUUUUUCUUGAGUGCUGGAGAGGCAAUCGGAAUUCCGUGUGU